AGAAAUGUGGAGCAAAGGACUGCAGUACUCUGGCCUUCCCCUGUGCUGGACAAAAAGACACACCCGAAAAGGCUGUUAGAUGGCUCACUGAUGACAGCAGAGGAGUCACAGAGAAGAGACGUGGUCAGAGAGCCAGAACCCACACCAGGUAGUGGGGAUCUGAUGGCCAAUGAGACAUAAGCCUGCCCUCGGAGCCCACAGUCUGGUGGGCAGGCAGACAAGGAAACAGACUGAUCACAAUACAAAGGAGUGGGUGGGCCACCCACAGAGGUAUGUUGCUUCACAAGCUCCCAUGGAAAGCUGACGCCUCAGAGAAUCCUCACGCUUCGCUGUUUGGAAGGAAUCAAGUUGGCAACCUCGAUCUUCUAGGGACCUGUCAGCUCGGGGAUUUCCUGGAGGAGCCUUUUGACCGCCCAUAGCUCUAGGUCCAUUCCAGAAGUCACUUCUCCAGCCUGAAACCUUCCCCGGCCUGGUAGAGGCCCCUUUCCAUCUGCCUGGUCGGAGCUGGAACCCUGAGUCCCUCAGACCUGCCCCUUCUCUCCAAGCCCAGGCUUUAGUUGGGGGCAGCUCGGUUUUCACCUACUUUAUUUCUCGGCCCUCCCGGCUGUUCCCCAUACUCUCCACCUCACUUUCUCUAAAGCAAUCUUCCUAAAAUGCAAAUCUCUCCAUGGCUUGCCCCUGCCUAUAAGGCUUCCAGGAAAAUUAGAUCCCCGCCCCCCAGCAUAGCACAAAGCCUUCCGCAGUCUGGCCCAUCGGACACCUAUACUCCUGCCGUAUCACUCCAGGUCAAUCCCAAACACGGCCAGUGCCUCACAACUCUGUGCCUUUAUACAUGGCAUUCCCUCCUCUUUGAAUAUCCCUCUGCCCCUUUCUUUUUUUUUUUUUUUUAAAGAUUUUAUUUAUUUAUUUGACAGAAAUAGAGACAGCCAGCGAGAGAGGGAGCACAAGGCAGGGGGAGUGGGAG